rnacentral:lncRNA from 1 species
UGGUGUGUGCGUUGGUUAGUUGUUAGCUAGCCCGCAUGGCCGGGUCUUGUGUGUAAGGGCACGCACGUAGUUAGCAGGUUAGUUAGUUAGCCGCGUCGUGGGUCAGUUCGUGCAUGUAGCUAGUCAGUUGGCGCAUGGAUUAGUGCCCGGUUAUGAUGCUGGUAGUGCGUGCGUAUGGCUAACGCCUGGUGUGAGUCCGGCUAUAUAAGCCAUGUAUUGGUGUUGUGUACAAGGUAGAGUAGCUAGGAGAGAUGUAGUCUCCGGUAGUCUUUCGUGUGUGGGUGGCGGUAUGUGCCGAGCCCGGGUAUGUGCCCAGUAAAGAUUUGGCCGUUCGUGCGGACGAGGCGCCGUUCGUGCGGCGGAGGCGUUUGUGCGCCGGAAUAUCAUGUGCUGCUUCUUCCACCUUCGUAUGUCCGAGUGAGAGAGAGAGAGAGCUGGUCCGGGGUUUGUCCCAACAUUUGGUAUCAUGAGCUGGUUCAUCUUGGGCGUCGUUCUUCUUGUCGGAGGCGUGCCGGCGAUGGCGGAGUUCGCCGGCGGCUCCGCGAUGCUCCGGGCCGUGUGUCGGCCUAUGGAGGUUCGCGGCGCGGCGAGGAGGCCGCGGUGGCUGCGGCGGCACGGUGAGGAGGCCGCGGAGGACCUGCGUGGUGGCGGCUUCAACGACGACGACGGCGCGGGGAGCGCGUCGUGGCGGCUCGGCGCGACAACGGUGGAGGCGCGUGGCACAGAGCCACGGCGCUCGUGUCGGAUGCGUCAUGCACGUGUAUGGGCGCGCGCCGGGCGUGUCAGGCGCGGCGGGACCGUGGUGUAGGGUGGCCGUUGGUGAGCGGGGGUGUGCAUGUUGAGCUGGUCCACCGCGGGCUCGCCGCGCCCAGACGUGUGCGUGCAUGUCGGAGGGGGCGCGGGCAGAGCGGGCGGGACGGGCGCUCGACGUGGGCUGGGACGUGGGUGCGUGCCCGGCGCAUCCCUGGGUAUAAAACCCCCGUGUACGUUGUAAUGGCAGUGCCCGGAGUCGAUGGCGACCAGCGUCAAUGCGCCAGGUGGAGUUUGCAGCCGUGGCGAUGACGACGACGAGAGCUACAACGACGACAACGACGGGAGCUACACCAACUAUGGCGAUGGCGAGGUCAUGGCUUAGGAGGUGAGUGUUGACAAUAAGCCAUGCCCGUGCCCGUGCGGUGGUGACCGGCGUCGGCGCGCCAGGUCUGGUCCUCGGUGGGCACAAGGGUGUGUCCUUGCGAUCUGUGUGUGUGCAGGUGUGCGCUCGCAGCGGCUGUUGGCGAGAGUGGCGUGGUGUGUGCGUUGGUUAGUGGUUAGCUAGCCCGCAUGGCCGGGUCUUGUGUGUAAGGGCACGCACGUAGUUAGCAGGUUAGUUAGUUAGCCGCGUCGUGGGUCAGUUCGUGCAUGUAGCUAGUCGGUUGGCGCAUGGGUUAGUGCCCGGUUAUGAUGCUGGUAGUGCGUGCGUGAGGCUAACGCCUGGUGUGAGUCCGGCUAUAUAAGGCCAUGUAUUGGUGUUGUGUACAAGGUAGAGUAGCUAGGAGAGAUGUAGUCUUCAGUAGUCUUUCGUGUGUGGGUGGCGGUAUGUGCCGAGCCCGGGUAUGUGCCCAGUAAAGAUUUGGCCGUUCGUGCGGACGAGACGUCGUUCGUGCGGCGGAGGCGUUUGUGCGCCGGAAUAUCAUGUGCUGCUUCUUCCACCUUCGUAUGUCCGAGUGAGAGAGAGAGAGCUGGUCCGGGGUUUGUCCCAACAUUUGG